rnacentral:rRNA from 1 species
GACGAACGCUGGCGGCGUGCCUAAUACAUGCAAGUAGAACGCUGAAGGAGGAGCUUGCUUCUCUGGAUGAGUUGCGAACGGGUGAGUAACGCGUAGGUAACCUGCCUGGUAGCGGGGGAUAACUAUUGGAAACGAUAGCUAAUACCGCAUAAGAGUAGAUGUUGCAUGACAUUUGCUUAAAAGGUGCAAUUGCAUCACUACCAGAUGGACCUGCGUUGUAUUAGCUAGUUGGUGGGGUAACGGCUUACCAAGGCGACGAUACAUAGCCGACCUGAGAGGGUGAUCGGCCAAACUGGGAAUGAGACACGGCCCAGAAGCCUACGGGAGGCAGCAGUAGGGAAUCUUCGGCAAUGGACGGAAGUCUGACCGAGCAACGCCGCGUGAGUGAAGAAGGUUUUCGGAUCGUAAAGCUCUGUUGAAAGAGAAGAAAGAGUGUGAGAGUGGAAAGUUCACACUGUGACGGUAUCUUACCAGAAAGGGACGGCUAACUACGUG